rnacentral:misc_RNA from 1 species
GCAAACUUGGUCAUUUAGAGGAAGUAAAAGUCGUAACAAGGUUUCCGUAGGUGAACCUGCGGAAGGAUCAUUAACUGUACCCGUCCGAACGCGUUUGUCCGCGUUAGGUUCGGGAUUACAACCCUCACCCUUUGUGAAACCCAAACCUUUGCUUCGGCAGCACCGAGCGGGCAACCGUGAGGGUAAGGCUGCCGGAAGCCCAUAGCAAAACCUGUCGAUGAAAUGUCAUGCUGUCUGAUACCUUUUGUUUGAGAAAUCAAAUAAUGUCGUUAAAACUUUCAGCAACGGAUCUCUUGGUUCCCGCAUCGAUGAAGAACGCAGC